rnacentral:lncRNA from 1 species
UCCUUCAAACUCUAUACCAUGGUUCACAAAAUCCUGCAUUCCAUUAUUCCCAAAUUAAUCCAUAUUAUUCUUUGCCUCUUCAAAGAACAUUUCUUUACCAACUCUUAACAGCUGAAACUAGAUUUUCCCCAAGCCCUGGGCUUCCCUGUAGCCUUGUUGGUGAUGGUUCCUUACAGCACUUGCCCACUGCCUGGGGCAGAUACUGCGUUCAUCAGGACUGCAUUUUUGCCAGAGAGGAGUGAAAAAAGAAAAAAAGAGCUUAGGGUUUUGACAAGGACAUCACUGCAACAAUACAUGAUGUACUCUGAGUGGGGAAGUAUGGAGGUGAAGAGCAGGAGAGCAAUAGGCGAAAGUAGCUGGUAAAGUGAAUGGAGAUCCCAGCAUGUUAGUGACUACAGUGAAAGUGUCACCUGGAGGAUGGGAUGUGGCCAGAAAAUAGGAGGGCUGAUAUUGGAAAGCAAUUUAUCAUAUUAAAAACUCUGAUUGUCAAAUAAAAUGUAUCUGUGGAUGACAUCCUGCGAGCUACGUGCUUCUGG